UACGUAGGGUGCGAGCGUUGUCCGGAAUUAUUGGGCGUAAAGCGCGCGUAGGCGGUUACUCAAGUCGGAUGUGAAAGCCCUCGGCUUAACUGAGGAAGUGCACCCGAAACUGAGUAGCUAGAGUACUAAAGAGGGUCGCGGAAUUCCCGGUGUAGAGGUGAAAUUCGUAGAUAUUCGCAAGAACACCAGUGGCGAAGGCGGCUCACUGGCCCGAUACUGACGCUGAGGUGCGAAAGCGUGGGGAGCAAACAGG
rnacentral:rRNA from 1 species